UACGUAGGGUGCAAGCGUUAAUCGGAAUUACUGGGCGUAAAGCGUGCGCAGGCGGUUAUGUAAGACAGGUGUGAAAUCCCCGGGCUUAACCUGGGAACUGCAUUUGUGACUGCAUAGCUAGAGUACGGUAGAGGGGGAUGGAAUUCCGCGUGUAGCAGUGAAAUGCGUAGAUAUGACGGAGGAACACCGAUGGCGAAGGCAAUCCCCUGGACCUGUACUGACGCUCAUGCACGAAAGCGUGGGGAGCAAACAGG
rnacentral:rRNA from 1 species